UAGAUGAAAGGCAUGUGCUACCACACCAGCUGGCCUUAGUGAUCCUGCCACCUCCACUUCUCCAGUGCUGGGAUUCUAGGCUUGCAACACUGCAUCUGGGUUUUCAUCCCCAUUCUUAAUAUUGUGUGCUUCUGAUGGCGUCUCUUUGCCCACUGGAGAGAGAAGCAGGUGACCAGGAUAUAGGCCCAAAGCUAGUGAAGCACAGUAGACCCCACUGGGAAGAAAGGCUGGGCUAGCACUAGAUACUCAUCUGCUAAUCUUGACACCAAGAGGGGGUAAGGCAUGGAACCUUCCCUUCAGCUCCAACACUCUGUUUUAGAGUAUUAAUCUAUUUAUGUGUGUGCACACACAUAUGUGCACAUGCAUACCACAGUACAUGUGUUGAGAUCAAAGGACGAUUUAUAGGAGUUAGUUCUCUCCUUUUGCUAAGUGGGGUCUAGGGAUCAAACUCAGGUUAUCGGGUUACUUUGCAGCCCAAGCUAGCCUUGAACUUGGGCUCCUUCUUGUCCCUGCUUCCAAUCCUGCAAUUACAGGUGCACCACCAAUACAGCUGUCAGUUUCACCGUUGUCUUCAGUUGUGUGUUCUCCAAGGCAGCAGUGAACACUCCUGAGCAGUGUGUGUGAGUGACCGCAAUGCUUAGCCUGAGGCUUACCAACCGAAUGCAUCUGUUUGAUUGCACAGUACACAGUAAGCAUCCUGGCCAUGAAGAUACGGCAGAACACUAAACGGAUACAAAUGAGUUGGCAUCUCUACCAGGGCAAACUGCAGCCCAUGGGCCAAAUCUGGGCCACCACCUGUCUUCAUAAACACAGCCUGGCUUGGGACCCAGCCACACUCCUGUGGUUUUGUGGUGGAGCUGAGUUGAACAGUUGCAAGAGAACAUGUUAUGAAGAUAUGGCAGUUCCCCCUGAAGCACCCCUCUUUCCCCAGAUGGAAGCAACACUGUCAUAGCUCCCAGACCAGCUUCAGAAGAGCAAACAUCCCUGAGUCAAACCCAUCCUGGAAGGAGGUAAUUGAGAAGUGCCAGUCCGUGCCUUCGCUGAGCUGUGCUCCGCGCAGCUGAGCUGUGCUCCGUGCAGGAGUUGCAUCUUUUGAGGCCACAUUGAGAGUCUAGACAGCACGCAGGUAUAAACACAUCCGAUCCCUAUUUGGAGCUUUGAUCUGUUCCUCUGGAGUCAGAAGCUGGAAGCUAUGGCGAGCUCCUGUCAUUUCCCAGAACACACCGUGGCAAGAGACUCCUGGGCCAGUCCAGUCAGUCCAGGUGUUGAGUUCAUAACCCCCAUGGCAUGGCGGAUCAGGCGGACUUCAUGGUGCUGUCGUAAUGACACAGGAAGAUACGCUGCUGUCUCAUGCUUCAAAGGACGCCUAAGAAUAGAUGGUGCAGCUCCGCAGUCACAGACCCAGAAGACACGGGCUACUGGUCAAGGACAGCUAGGACCAAAGGCAAGAUCUAAAAUGAAGAUCAUUGAAGGAUCUGUGGCUCAGGCUAGCUCUCUGGCUCCGGACAUCUGCACUCCUUCCAAAAGGCAGUUCUGGGAGCUCUGCCACCAGGUGGGAGCUGGGGCUCAUGUCGACUCUGCAGCCCCAGAUAAGUCCUAGGCUAAGCAAAGAGGAGGCAUCUCAGUCCCAGCCCGAGACUGCAGAAACUGGGCCCGAAUUGCUGUCUUCUUGGGACUGUUGGAAUCUGGGAAGAGCAAGAUCAACCAUGGGGUUAAACAUUAAUCUCAGCAGAGGAGACGAUCUGGUAAUGGAGACGCCCCAGCACAACCGAGACUCUGGAUGCAGGAGGCUCACAAUAGAGCAGCGAUAAAGGAUGGAAGGAGGGGGCUGGUAGUUCCUCUCUGACCUUGAACUUGGCCAUGUCCACAGAACUGUGGCUAGAUUCUCACCUGAUGUUACUCAGAAACAAGGCUCCGAUGAGAAGACUGCUUCAGAAAGCACUCUCUAGAACUGCCACCUGGGGGGGGGGGUUCACCCUGGCUGAUCUAGGAAUCCUGCCUUCUGGUGCCAGGAAGGGCUGGCAGGAUCCUCACGUGAACACAUCUGUGGUAGUCUGGCAUUUGUUAGUAGGAACAUAUUUCCUGGAGUCAAAUGCUAUGUUCGUAGUGUCUUCUGCUGAGGCCCCACAUGACAAAAUAUGGAUCAAACCAAAUCUGAGACUUCUCUCCAGGCCCACCCGAAGGCUGAAUUAGGAAGCUCUCUAGAGAAGGAAGCUGAGAAACGGUAGUACAAGCCUGAGACGCAGAAUCGGGGCGCAGCCUUUCUUCGCUCCGUUGCCCAGCUCCACCUGCCCUUCCGGGUCCUGCUCCUGGGGGUGAAGACAUCUCAGUUCCAAGUGGUUUCCUGACCCCAAUGACUGCAGUUAUCUUUGGUGCCUUGGGCUGCUGGUGCUGAGCCUUCCCCUACUGUCAGUGGUGGACAAACAGAUUUGGACAUAUUAGAUGGCAUCCUAACCCUUUUAGUAGAAUAGACAUUGCCAGGGUGAGAGUUGCAUUCAGAAUGCAACUGGGUUAUUUGCAUGGGUGGAGUUUCCUCUGAGGUCAUCUCCUUUCCCAAGGGGCAAGCCACAGAAUGUUACUUUCUUGGCCUUCCUUGUGAGACGGCCCUUCUAGUAAUGGCAGAUUCCAGUGAUACUCAUGGCAGUCCCUACCUAUGGCCUGGAUGUCCACCCAGCAGCCCUAUGCAAUGCCAGAGCGAAGUUUCUUCCAUGGUUAGAGACAAGCACAGAUGUCAAAAUUCAAUGUGUGGAGAAGGUGGCCAAGGGGAGAAUGCAGUUCUAUUCCGUUCAUAUGCAGGAGACAGCAAAUCCCCACAAGCAAAUGGGCAUCUGGAAGGAAUUUUCUUGGUACAGAUAGAAGAGAUAGCGUAGAGGGCUAGAGGACUUGCUGUCCUUCCAGAGGAUCUGCAUUUGGUUCCCAGCAUCCACCCUGAACCCACUAAAAACCACCUGUAACGCCAGAGCCAGGGCAUUUGGCGCCCUCUUCUGGUCUCACAUUCACACACACAGACACACAUUCUCACAUACACACAUGUAUGGGUAUACACAUACACAUCCAAAUUUUUUUCUUAAGAAAAAGGAAAAAAAAGACAGCAUAGAAAAUGUUACUCUUUUAUUAUUUCAAGGAGGUAAUACAUAGCCCAGUACACCAAAGCAAGAGGGAAUCAGAGGCAGCAAAUGGUCAGUGGUUUCGGGAAGAGCCUCAUGCUGCGCCCCCAAGCUCCUGUCUGCCCGCUCACAUGAAGGCUGGGACUGUAGCAGUGGAUGGAUGACCAAACUCAGCCCCCUGCUGACUGAAAGGGCGGCAUAGAGGCAGCUCCAGGAUUCAGCACACUGGCAGUGCUUGCCCUACCACCCAAGACCACCAUCACCACGGCAGCCAGCUUGCCUAGCACUGAUUCAGUUUCAGUGAGCUUGGGGUGGGCAGGGCAGGGAUAAUCCUGAGUCAUCAAUUCAGAUGAACACCUUAGUAGUGUUAAUACCUUGGAUGAGAAAAGACAACACUGUUUUGGGGGUGGAUGAGGGAAACGAAGGAAUGGAAGGAGCCGGGGCUGUAGUACUGCCUGGAGGAAGAAGGGGGGGCCUCUCCAAGUACAUGAUGGGGAGAGGCAGGGGCUGGGCUCUGGGACAGGCUGCUUCCUCUGGCACAGAGUUGGCCUAGAGGUUGAUUUUCCAAUCAUAAUUGGUUACCUGGGUCUAGUUAUCAUACCUAGGACAAAACAAGUCUUGCUUACACCAGAGAUGGCCUUAGAGAGAUGCCUGGCUCGGUUCUCCCAGGUUGUGGGGAGGAACUCCAGCUAAGACCCUUCUCCUCCAUUCCCAGCCGCUGUCCUUUGCAGAUGACUGGGGUGAAGGAGACAAACAGGUGCUGCUAUAGCCCAAUGGUCUUUUCCAGGGAGCUCACGCAGGCUCGCAGCCCCACCCUGGCAUGGCACGGAGCUGACAUUUCUACCAAGUGGGUACCAUCUGGUGACUGAAAGGUGGUGUGCAGGUGGGCGUCACAGCAGGGGCUGCAGCGCUGAGAUACUCACACCCUCCAUUUCAGCAUGGUGGGCCAGGCUGCUGGCUGCCAGGAGAGGUGGCUUCUUCCCAGCAUGCACUGCUCUCCUCCAACCCCACUACGCAGGGCUCACAGAGUUUUGGCUUGACAGGUAUGAAAAUAAUUUUAAAAAAAUCACACCACUGUGUAUUCCAAACCCAGAGCUGAUGGCUUUGUUUUGUUUGACAGGCAAGGACAAAGAAACCACAACUCCACAGUGGCCGAGGCUCAUAUAAGCUACCCAGACGGAGAAACCUUGUCUGACGAGGGAGCUGGGGGAGCCAUGCAGUCCUCUAGUCGGUGGUCAGAUCUGAGGUCAACUUGUCUUCACAUUCCUCAAAGCCUGGGACUGGCUUCUGCAGAAAGUGUGUGGUGGCCUGGAUCACCUUGUCGGGCCCAAUGUUGUAGACCGGGUGAGUGGGCUGCUGCAAAGAGAAGAGACAGGAGUUCAUCACCACUCUUGGUUGGCUGGAAUUCACCCGACGAACUUAGACUAAAGGAGCAAGAGUGAUCCACACACGGGCUUACUCCAGGCCCAAAUGUGCAAAGACCGCUAUCCGCUGGAAACAUUUCAUAGUACACACCACGAGGGAACAUAGCACGGCCACUUACAGAUGUACUUUCACAUAUGUUAAUGACAUAGGCAAUGCUCACGCUUAUCUGAAAUACAUUUUGGAGUUUGUUGGACUUUGGAAUAUCCACAUUGACUUUACCUGUUACACGCAGCACCGCACACGUUAAGUAUGUGUCCACCUCUAAGCUACGUCUCUUGCUCCAAAACCUUUUCUUAAGCAUAAUUUUUUUUAUUACUAAUAUUUUUUUUUUACUAAAUUUAUUUUUAAUUAGCAGACAAAACACUUGCGUUUGUUACAGCAUUUUCUUCAUUUCAUUCUGUUUUUAAGAGGCUGGCUAGCCCAGGCUGACCUCAGAUUUGCUGUGUAAGCUGGGUUUGAACUCUUGAUCUUCCUGCUUUCACCUGUAGUGCCACAGGUGUGCACUGGCUUUCAUGGUGACAUCUUCAUGUAUACUUUAUGGUUUGCAUCUUGGCCCCCACUUCUGCUGGUCCCCCAACUCUCCCCAAAUAGUGACCCCUUUGGAUUUCAUGGCACAUAUAUCACACUGCCCUUCUUCCUUCCCUUAAUACCUCUAACAUAGAAAGGUCGCAUUUUCUCUCAUAUGGAGCCCAGAUCAAAAGAGGGAAGAAGAGAGGGGUGAGGAACAUUGUAACUUUUAACAGUUAAAGUUCAUACGUAAACGCACUGUAUGCGGAUCAUAUCCCCCAUAGCCCGCCUUCCCUCUUAGCACCCCUUCCCCACCCGUUAAUUCCCUUUGUCCCCAUUGACAGCUUGAUGUCGAGUUUCAUGUCAUCGAUACAUGCACGUCUGAUGUGUCUGUAUACAGCCCAGGACCCACAAAGAGAGAAACCAUGGACCUUCCUGAGACUGCUCCAUUCACUUACUGUGUUUCCAGCUGCAACCAUCAAUCCUGCAAACGACAUGACUUCAUUCUUUAUGGAAUGAAGAGCCCAUCUUUCUGACGGGAUGUACCCUCCCCAUGCUGCAAUUACAGGUGCACACACAGCUCCCGGCUCUGAACUCUCUGAGAGCCACCACGACGACCCUGGAAAGCUGUACCUUUUCAAGCAUUUUGGAUUAAAUGCUCAUAUGUGGGCAAACCACCGCACAGAAGCAUCUGGAAACCCCUUUGUUUCUUAUGGGUUUUGGUUGUUUUUUGUUUGUUUGUUUGUUUUUGUUUUUGAAACAAGGUUUCUCUGUAGCUUUGGAGCCUGUUCUAGAACUAGCUCUUGUCAACCAGGUUGGCCUUGAACUCACAGAGAUCUGCCUGCCUCUGCCUCCUAAGUGCUUAAGAAAAAGGAAAAAAAAAAGACAACAUAGAAAAUGUUACUCUUUUAUUAUUUCAAGGAGGUAAUACAUAGCCCAGUACAUCAAAGCAAGAGGGAAUCAGAGGCAGCAAACGUGUGUGCUACCACUGCCUGGCCUGAAAGUUCCUUUCAAAACAUGCUUACAGCUGUGACAGGGAGAGCAGGGGCUGGCCAACCCUGGGCACCCACCAAGACAGCCGUCACUCUUUGUAUGCUUGUGUUUCAGUUAUUAAAACGGUGAACAUCUGUGUUCAUAGUUAACAAUAAAGAACACAGCUCUUUCUGAGGGUGAGAGUGUCAGGUCAUAUUUCAAUUCUUUUACAUUAUUUCCCUACAUCACAGAAAAAUUUAAAGUCUGAGCAGGACAGGAUUUUAGAGAAGUAUUCGGGGCCCUCUCUAGGAGAGUGAGGAGGAGGAGGAGGAGGAUACAGCUGCAGAAGAUUUUCACUUUCUUUAUACACACCCCCAUCCUGUGUGGGGAGGGUCAGAAGACAGCAUGUGGUCGGUGGAGUUGGUUUGCUCCUAUUGUAUAGGUUCCAGAGUGAGCUCAGGUUAUGAGGCCUGGCAGCGAGCACCCUUACCUGCUGAACCAUCCUGCCAGCCCCUCAUUUAUUUAGACACAGUAUCAUGUAUCCUAGGCUGGGCUCCAUGUAAAAGGACUGCAGCUAAGAAUGAGUGAAUUUCUGAUCUCCUGCCUCCACCUCUCAAGUGCUGGGUGCCACCAUGCUUGGUUUAUACAGUACAGAGGGACCUGGGGUUUCCUGCGUGCUAGGUGAGCACUCAGCGGCUGAGCUACAGGCCUAGCCCUUCGCCUGUACAAAAUCUCCAAGAGACAAAGAGAGGGAAGCUGGACAUUGCAGUGAACACCUUUAACCCUAGCACUCAGGAGAUAAAGCAGGCAGAUCUCUGUGAGUUUGAGAGUUCUAGGCCAGCCAGCCAGCACUGCAGAGUGAGACCCUGUCUUAAAUGGGGGAGGGGCUGAGGCAGAAAGCUACGCAUGGAAUUUUAUGAGGUCAGCAUAUUUUAAAACACAAAUUGAAAAACACAUUAUAAUAAAAAAUACCUAUCAAUCUUAAAAACA